GACGAACGCUGGCGGCGUGCUUAACACAUGCAAGUCGAACGAAAAGAGGGAAAGAGCUUGCUCUUUCCGGAAUUGAGUGGCAAACGGGUGAGUAACACGUAAACAACCUGCCUUCAGGAUGGGGACAACAGACGGAAACGACUGCUAAUACCGAAUAAGUUCCAAGAGCCGCAUGGCCCAUGGAAGAAAAGGUGGCCUCUACCUGUAAGCUAUCGCCUGAAGAGGGGUUUGCGUCUGAUUAGCUGGUUGGAGGGGUAACGGCCCACCAAGGCGACGAUCAGUAGCCGGUCAGAGAGGAUGAACGGCCACACUGGAACUGAGACACGUGCCAGACUCCUACGGGAGGCAGCAGUGGGGAAUCUUCCGCAAUGGGCGAAAGCCUGACGGAGCAACGCCGCGGGAGUGAUGACGGCCUUCGGGUUGUAAAACUCUGUGAUCCGGGACGAAAAGGCAGAGUGCGAAGAACAAACUGCAUUGACGGUACCGGAAAAGCAAGCCACGGCUAACUACGUG
rnacentral:rRNA from 1 species